CUUUUACUCGUGAGGUUUCAACUGCGGAAAAAGUCCCAUUUUGUGCUCCGGCAUGAAAUCGUGCCGUGUCAAGAUUCCAACGGUUGGAGGCCUCUGCAAAAUGUAAUAAUUCAGAACAAUGUUACAACGCUAAACUAUCACCAAGCUUCCGAAAGAAAAUAGCAGCUUUAGCAAGGGACAUUGUUUCCACUACGGUGUAUGGUGAGGUAUUAGUAAGGGGGUGGAGAUCAAGAUACGUCUCCAUCUCUUCCUCCUGAAUGUCCAAAUCCUCCAAAAAGGCCUCCGAUAACUCCAAGUGAUGCAAGAAAGAAGCAAGGGUCUCGAAGAGAAGAGGGAUAGGUCGCGUGGGAAUCGCUUUACCAGGGGCAACAGAUCUUGCGAGAGCCACCCUGUCCGGGCAAAGAGGCUAUGCAAGCGCCGGUGUGAACUGUGAACCAUAGGUCCUUCCUCACCCAAAACAAACCCAGCAGCUACUCCAAAUAUAGAACCAAAAAUCAUGAGUGACAUUUAGCAGCAUGUCAUGAUUAUCUGAAUUAGAUAGAAAUAUAUGUGAAAUAAUCAUGAUACUCAUUUGAAUUUCGAUUGUAGAUACUAUGUAAUUUAAUUGUGUCGCAAUGCAAUUCGAUUCUUUUAUCAUCCA